UUUAUGGAGAGUUUGAUCCUGGCUCAGGAUGAACGCUGGCGGCGUGCCUAAUACAUGCAAGUCGAGCGAACAGACGAGGAGCUUGCUCCUCUGACGUUAGCGGCGGACGGGUGAGU
rnacentral:rRNA from 1 species